UCCACCUCUCCAUUCAAAUAGCCAUUUGCCCAACAUACAUUUAGACAUUCAAAUGCUUCUCCCUUUCCUAAGCUGUUUCGUUUUGACCGUUGUGGGAGUAUCUUCGAAUUUUCUGAAUUGAGCGAGGGAUCCUUGUUCUUUCAAUUUGUCAUCCUGAUUUUGGAAUUGUAGUUUUUUUUAAAAACCUAUUUCUGGAACUGACUUAAUCGCUUUCUUUGCACUAUUAGAAAAUAAUGUUAGCCUAUACAUCGUCUCUUAAAAAAGGUGAAAAAACAUACGGCACAGUGGCACAGCCUGCUUAUUAGAAAUGCUUGGGCUUUUUUCUUUAUGUUGUCUUUUUUGUUUGAGGUGGAGCUGUUCCCUUAUUUCCCAGAAUGCCGUGAAUAUUUUGCCUAUAACGAUUGAAGGCUAAUUGUCUGCAUUUGGCACAAUUGAGAGUAUUUUUGUAGCCAAGAGCUAUAAUUCAGUGUAUUUGAAGAGGAUUCAUGAUGAAAGUUAUGGCAAAAGUUUCACGCUGGCUACCAACCUGAUGCAACUCUCCUCCUUUAUCUGGGCUUGGGAACGUCAAUGAGUGCACAAAACUCCCACGGGCACUGUGCUCUAUCCACAAUGUGUUACACAAUAUGUAAGGUCUGGAUGUGCGUGAACGUAUGCCAUCUGUACCAUGGAUGAGUUACGCCAGUUUCUUUUGUUGUAGCAUUGGCACAAUAGAGCCUAUGCACUUGAAGAAAUCAAGAGUGUGUAUUGCACUUGAAAAUUUAAUUUGCACUUUGAUCAUUUCAGUGAAGACAAUACAAUUUAUGUUUUUCUUU